rnacentral:misc_RNA from 1 species
GAUGAAGAACGCAGCGAAAUGCGAUAAGUAGUGUGAAUUGCAGAAUUCAGUGAAUCAUCGAAUCUUUGAACGCACAUUGCGCCCUGUGGUAUUCCGCAGGGCAUGCCUGUUCGAGCGUCAUUGACACCCUCAAGCUCUGCUUGGUCUUGGGCGUUUGUGCCUGCCGUUGCGCAGGGACUCGCCUCAAACUCAUUGGCAGCCUGCUUUGCAGGUCUUUGCACAGCACAGUCGUGCCAAAGCCGCGGUGAGCAGGCGCUCCACAUGCCCUUUUCAGCUUGACCUCGGAUCAGGUAGGAAUACCCGCUGAACUUAAGCAUAUCAAUAAGCGGAGGA